AUGGAUGCCCUGCUGGUUUAGCCCCAUAAAAGAAACUGAAGCUUUAUGGCUACUCAAUCAAGCCUCUCAAGGAAAAGGAAGCGCAAAUGCACUUUGAGAAGACGGCCACACGAACACGGCAGGCAACAGGGAGUCUCUAUCUCAAGCCCUCAAAAACCACUGGCAAUUUUUCAAAAAAAAAAUCACUGGCCAUGAUGCAAAUCUAAGCUUAAAUUAUCACCAUAUAUCCUAUAAACAUAGUACCACCUAAUCAGAAUUCGGGGGAAAAUGGAGAGAAAUUUGAGUUGUAAAUCUUUUUGGUAGGGAAAUUCCAGGCCAUCUUUGUUGUCUAGUUUCGGUGGAUUCAAUAACCGGAGGUUGAUUCAAUCGACGGUCCAAAAUGUACGUCCCCCCUUGACUUGUCGUGUAGAUCUUCACACCACAU
rnacentral:lncRNA from 1 species